rnacentral:sRNA from 1 species
AAAAAAUCGGUAGGUGAGGUUACCUUAGGGAUACGGGUUGGUGCCGCGAAAUAGUGGAAACACUAUUAGAUGGUUAGCAGGAUACAUCGGAAAAAGAAGGUGUAUUCUAAUUCAAUUACAUUGCCCUAAGAAGCUAAAGCUUGAACGAGAAUU